UGAGGAAUAUUGGGACAAUGGAGGCAACUCUGAUCCAGCCAUGCCGCGUGAAGGACUAAGGCCCUAUGGGCUGUAAACUUCUUUAGACGCAGAGCAAUAAGGUCCACGCGUGGAUCGAUGAGAGUAUGCGUAGAAUAAGCAUCGGCUAACUCCGUGCCAGCAGCCGCGGUAAUACGGGGGAUGCAAGCGUUAUCCGGAUUCAUUGGGUUUAAAGGGUGCGUAGGCGGCUUGGCAAGUCAGCGGUGAAAGGCCCGGGCUCAACCCGGAAAGUGCCGUU
rnacentral:rRNA from 1 species